rnacentral:ribozyme from 1 species
CCGCGCAAGUGUACGCUGCAACUGCAGAGGAAAGAGAAAGAAGAAAAAAAAAGAAGAAGAGUGCAGAGAAAAGACAACAAGGAGGUUUUCUUGGUGCUAUUUCUACUUGUUUUGUGUUUUCCCAUUCUUC